rnacentral:rRNA from 1 species
CCUACGGGAGGCAGCAGUGGGGAAUUUUGGACAAUGGGGGCAACCCUGAUCCAGCCAUGCCGCGUGCGGGAAGAAGGCCUUCGGGUUGUAAACCGCUUUUGGUCGGGAAGAAAGGUUUCUCUUGAAUACGGAGGGACUGUGACGGUACCGGCAGAAUAAGCACCGGCUAACUACGUGCCAGCAGCCGCGGUAAUACGUAGGGUGCGAGCGUUAAUCGGAAUUACUGGGCGUAAAGAGUGCGUAGGCGGUUCGUUAUGUCUGUGGUGAAAGCCCUGGGCUCAACCUAGGAAUGGCCAUGGAAACUGGCGGGCUGGAGUAUGGCAGAGGGGGGUGGAAUUCCGCGUGUAGCAGUGAAAUGCGUAGAGAUGCGGAGGAACACCGAUGGCGAAGGCAGCCCCCUGGGCUACUACUGACGCUGAGGCACGAAAGCGUGGGGAGCAAACAGGAUUAGAUACCCUGGUAGUCCACGCCCUAAACGAUGAUCACUAGUGUAGGGUAGGUAGUAUUCGUUCGUCGCGAGCUACGACGUGAGNGNUCCGCCGUGGGAGGUACGGCCGCGAGGACGUAAACGUUAAAGGUAAGUUAGUUACGGCGUGAGAGUGCGACGGCGACGACGAGGGAGGAGG